UAUAAAAUAACUUGAAGUUUCAUUUUAUCAUGUUUGCAGAUUUUAUUUACAUUUCAUCUCCACAUUCCAAUUGUAUGCACAUAUGCAAUACCCACUGUUACUGGUUCCUUUCUUAACGAAAAUUAUCGCCGCAUACUAAAAAAUAUUUAAUUUGUUUAUUGUGACUGUAAAUUAAUUUGUGUUUUUAGAUCUUUUAUCGGGUUUCUUCAGGACGGGCUUGAUGACACUUCGAUUGUUUACAGAAUAUAUCUAUAGUUAAAUUAUUUAAACAACAUUAGCAAGUCCAACCUAUAAUAAGGAAAAUAAGCUCACUCUGGAAGUUCUACUGGUUUGGCCGAUAAUGUUUUUAGCAACAUGUAACAGCGUUUACUAUUGAAUUUGUUUAAAUUUCUUAAAUA